GAGUUUGAUCGUGGCUCAGAUUGAACGCUGGCGGCAUGCCUUACACAUGCAAGUCGAACGGCAGCACGGGAGCUUGCUCCUGGUGGGCGAGUGGCGAACGGGUGAGUAAUGCAUCGGAACGUAUCCUGGAGUGGGGGGAUAACGUAGCGAAAGUUACGCUAAUACCGCAUAUUCUGUGAGCAGGAAAGCGGGGGACCUUCGGGCCUCGCGCUCUUGGAGCGGCCGAUGUCGGAUUAGCUAGUUGGUGAGGUAAAGGCUCACCAAGGCGACGAUCCGUAGCAGGUCUGAGAGGAUGAUCUGCCACACUGGAACUGAGACACGGUCCAGACUCCUACGGGAGGCAGCAGUGGGAAUUUUGGACAAUGGGGGCAACCCUGAUCCAGCCAUGCCGCGUGAGUGAAGAAGGCCU
rnacentral:rRNA from 1 species